rnacentral:pre_miRNA from 1 species
AGGGGGAGUGCCGGAUCCUGGGCUGUGUCCCCGGAACCCUGGGCUCCCAGGCCUGCGCUGCUGGAAUCGCGCUCCCGGCUGCACAGCUCCCU